AUUUAGACAAUUUAGGCUAUGGUGACUUAUUUCAAAAAGGCUCUCACCUCGCCUCUUGCCUAAGGCCAUAAGGUAUACUUUCACCUUAGUGUUGCCUCUCGCCUUCAUAACACUGGUUAGGUAUGUGGGUAAUGUGCACCUUAUAAAGAAUUGGGCAAUCCUCCCCCUUUGAGCUAGCUUUUGGGGGUAAGUUAGGCCUAGUCCAUUUUCUGAUCAAGUACUGUUAUGCUUUGCCCAUGAUAGGUCAUGAACUCAGGUGGCAGUAAAAUAGUUAAGCAUGCCAAGAAAUUGAGUACUACAUGGAAAACACAGUUUUAGAUUACAUUGCUACUCAAAGCCAGCUCAAGAAGAGGAUACAGAAACUUACAUCUGGUGUCUUUCCUGGUAGUUUCAUAGCCAUCAAAAUAUGUAGUGCAGCCAAUGGAAGUAAUUAAAGAAAAGUUAGCAAUUCAUGAAAAAGAGGAAAUAGAAAACGUUAAAAAGAAUGUUCUAAGAGAGAUGAUUGUCAAAGGUAAACAAGAAGAAAUAUGACAGCAGAAUUACAGAUUUAGGCAAUAACAAAUAGCAGAUAGGUUACAUUUCAACUCAACAAACAAAAUUUUGAAAUGACGUAUAAAUUUACUGAAUAUUUCCUUUUUCCAUGAAAUAUGCUUCAUGAUCAAACCUCCACUGCAAGAGAUCUAAAAGCAAUAUGCUGUCAUAUUCUCGAUUAAAAUGACAAUGUUUCUCUCCUAUCUCUCUUCAAAACUCCACAUGUAAAAGUGAAAACAUGAAUUAUGGCGUUGGCAUUCACAACAGUCCCAUGCUAUUUUUGCAGUGGGAAGUGGGGACUAUAAUUAAUCACUGCACCGUGCAGGCAGACAUGUAGCAUAUUGAAGUGGGCUGCCAGAACUGUGCAGUUGGGGCAUAGAAAGCCCUUGACAGAAGCCAUCAAAACUAAGCCAGAUUUAAGGUUUAAUAAAAGCUACUUAGUUCACCACAGCAGAGUAUAGUAGUUCUGCAGUAAAAGUAUGCUAGUGAAUUUAGAUAUCAUAUCUUACCUCCUUUCACCCUUCGGAAGCCA
rnacentral:misc_RNA from 1 species